GAAAGUUUUCUUAGCUGCGUGCCUUUUCAUCUUCUCCGUUCUAAUUUUGUAAUUUCUUUGAAAAUACUUAGUGUGAUUUUUGAGAGAAUUUGUAAAGAAACUCUUUUGGGAGUUUCUUCUGUGGGAAUAUCGUGUUGUAUUUGAGACAUGGGAACUCAGUGUUCUGUAACUUGAUUUUUGCCUAUUUUGGCCGAUUUAGUGGUUUCGAGCUUAAUGCUUUAUGGGUGCUCAAUGGGGGACCAAGCAUUAGAAGCAGUCAUUGAACCUCUAGGGCCUUUGGUCGAAAAAUAUCUCAUGUUCUUUAUUUUCUGUUUUGAGUUUAAGAAAAAUCUUGAUUUUGUACGUUGAGUAUUUUUGGUUUAAACUCGAUUCUGUACCUACGCAUGUUUUCUAAGAAGGUAUGAAUAAUUUUUCCAUUAAACAACCUCAAUCUGACUCUCCCAAUUCUAGCUACCUUACAAGAUUUGUUGUUUUCCAUGACAACAACACAUUGCUUCACCAUUUCUUAUGUUUCAAACCAGGCCCUAUUGGAAUACAUAUGGAAUGAACACGCUAAAUCCAAAAUAUACUCCUCAUCAAGCUUGGAUUCCAUGUCAGAUACAGUCAACAUCACAUAUCCGCCAUCCGAAAGUCAUUGACAAUGUUUAUAUCGUCCGAAUGAUCUGAUUGCCUCACACGAUUUGUAGCUGAAUUACCUUUACUCUGCAACUCAUCAUAAUCCUUUUUGAUGUGUUAUUUUCUCCUACAAUAGAAGCAAAUCUGAUUGCUGAAGUUUACCCUCGACUUAUCCUUCCGUC
rnacentral:lncRNA from 1 species